UGGUCCUAGGCGCGCCCUGCGGUCCCCCCGACCGCCCAGCAGGGUCUGAUGGCUCGAAGCAUCCCCGAGAGGCCCCCACGGCACGCCACCUCGGGACAGACGUCUCGAAAUGCUCUUUACCUGCGAGGAGCCCAGAAAGACAGAUACUUCAUAUUCUUUAUGACAAUUAGUUGACCCGUUGCGCCAAAUGGCGCAGAGACCCGCUAAAGCCAUGUUGUCGAUGAAAAUAGUUUCAUUUUGCAAGGACAUAUUCGAUAUUGGUAAUAGAAAACCCAUGUAUUAAAUUAUGCUAUAUUGAAAAUAUGUUUAUCAUGUUGAGAAAUUUGAGUUUGAAAAAAAUCAUACUUGUAUAAUAUGUAUACAACAGUUAAGGAAUCAUUUUUUUAGUUGAAAAUAUGGUUAUCAUCAUGAGAAAUCCGAGUUUGAAAAAAUAAGGACAUGUUUGGAUAAAAUGUAUAGACCAGUUAAGGACGUAUUUUUUUAGUUGUGAUUGUACUGAACUUUUAUUUUCCAUGUGCACGCAAAAGAACCAUCUCCGUGUUGUGCAUAUGGAGGCAUAGGUAUUUGAAAGGCCCAUAUGCUACCUAGCUGAGUCCACGGACAAUUCUGUGUGUGUGGCUCGUCUGGAGUAGAAUAUGAAGCGGUGGGGACUACAUCUAUCGUGCUUGUUUAUCCCCUUUUCUUCCUCGGUUCCUCAUUUAAGCAAGAGAAGCAUUUCCAAAGACACGUACUCAACUGGUGAGAUUUCUCCUUUCCUACUAUUUCGGAUUUCGGAUUUCUCUGCAUGCACUGUUUUUUUAUUGAAGGAUAGUACCGAUCUUACCUUGGGCUGGCAGCCCUCCGGGUGGCAUCAGUUGCCAAAGGAGAGAUCAAUAGGAAUCAAAACACAGAUGAUUGACUAAAUCACAAAAGCAAAAUUUCAGUCGUUUUUCAUAUAGAGUGGCAGAUCAUAGCAUUGCUGAAAUGGACUAAAAUUAAGGAGAACGGAUGAGGACAAAAAUGAUGUAAAAUCAGGUCUGGGUUUAAAAUGGGCAUAAGUAGUACAAUACUAGCUUCAGUAGAACUGUAUCGUAAUGCACAAAGGCUCAGUAACUGCAAUACUAAUUUACUCAAGGAAGAGUUGCACAAUUUACUCAAGUAAGGGGUGCUCAAUUUUGUCAUCAGAACAAACUAUAAUAGGAUGGUGGGAAGUAUAUGUUGAUGCGUACACACCUUCAAAACUAUAACUAUGUACCAAUGCACAAAGGAGUAGCAGCUGCAAUAUUAAUUUACACAAGGAAGAACCGGUCAAUUCUUUCAUCAGAAUAAACUUUAAUAGGAUGGUACAAAUUCUAUAAACCUUGAACGGGUGCAUAGUACCUUCCAAAGCCUAUUAACAUCAAGAUGUAGUAAGGCGAGAGAAUAAUGAUUGUAACUAUCUUUUCCUUCAAACAUUUGAGAAAGCUUAGAGAAUCCGCUCAGCUGCCUUUUCCCCCAAUGUUCUCUUUUCCUUCUUUUAACUGCAAAAAUGAAGUAUGUUCCACACUUUGUUUGGCAGAACAAACUCGAAAAAUCAGUGUUGUUACCGACAGACUUACAUAUUGCAUGAGAGAUUCUGGACGUAUUUAUGCUAACUAAAUUCAGGAAAAUCCCAAAAGCAUGAUAAUUUUGUAGCCUGGUAUAAGCCUCGUUUCAGCCCUCAUGGUGCAUCUCGAAGCCCUACAAUCAAGACCAAAACAUCACUCCAUACUAAAAUCUCUAAACACCAGUUCAUCUAACUAAUCGAGCAAGUAGCAGUCCUGCACUAAAACGCCUAAACACCAGUUUAGUUAUCUAUAUUAUACACAUAUCUGCUACUACAAAAUCUAAAAAAUGAGAAACUGGACCCUCAGCAACAUUGUCCAACGCACACUGCAUGUGGUCUCGGAACCUUGAACCAGGCAAGGAAAGAAGCAAAGCACUUUGUUUUUCUAGAUUCUGUAAAAAAAAUACUUAAGGAGGGUGUAGCUAAGCGGAACAACAAAGAUAAAUAUUUCAAAAAUAUACCCACAGAAUAACUUGGCAUAGGAUAAGAUCUUGCAUGCGAAGCUGGUUUUAGAGACAGAGAAGACUAUGCCUAAUACCCACAGAACUGCUCUAGUAAAUUGCCUAUUGUCUAUCACUACUAACAACACUAUCGGUCAAUUAAGUUACUUCAUCCCAUUAUAAUUGAACAAAAUAAGGAUAAAUAUGCACUUCAAGCCGUCUCAGUCUUUUCUCAAACAAAUAACAUCAGGAUCAUCAUCAGUAAGAAGUGCACACAAAAGUCAUGCCUCAUCAGUUGAUAAAUAAUGAAGCAAUAAUCAGAAUAUAUAAAAUGGGAAUAAAAAUAAAUGGCAGAAAUCAUCCAUCAACAGAGCUAAAAUGGGACGGGAGUGACAUGAGUAUGCUAGAUUGACACUAAAUAGAAAUCUAUAAGCAUGGACACUACUGUAUUAAAAGAAAAUAACAGAAAAAUAUAGAAAUGGUUAAUAUGCUAAUGUUUUCGCCAUAAGAACAAGAAAGGUGUAACAUGAGUAAGGAUCUACGUUAUAAAUGUAUACACUAUACAACUCUAAAAAUAAUUUUAGAAAACUUUCAGUGUCCAACUAUCGGUAUACUUGUUUUCCUCUACAGAGAAGAAAAUUAGAUAGCAAGCUUUCGGUGUCCACCUCAUGUUACCAAGUGAAGUAAACUUUUGCCGUCCAGGUUGGUUGUUAAGUUACUCAUGAAUCGAAUAUAGCUAUAUGAUAACAUUAUCACCUCUUAUUUCAAUUGGUGCAUGUACCCGAGGUCAGAUGCAUGCCUUUGAUUCCUCCCAUAGUUUUUUGUCCGGUCGAUUAGAAUAGUCGCAAGCAUAGCUAAGAACUAACCUAUAGUGGGAGCGAGGUUUGCUAGAAUGCCCUGGCCUAGUGGCAUGCUUGAAUGCUAUGCUGACUGGUGGUGUAAGUUUAGGAAUUAGUUUACUUCUUUAACAAAAUAGGAAAGGCGUGGUUAUAUCAGAGAAAUCAAUGCAAGAAAUUAAAUUGCUUUCCAGGGAACCACUAUUUAAAUUUCCAUACAGAAGUCUAAUCUUCAAUUUGCUUGUAUCUUUAGGACAAAAAUAACUGCAGCUACGAAUCAUCAUCUGUACAUAGGUCCCAAAAAAAGAUAUGAAUCUGGUAACAGAAAUACCUUGCAAUAUCUCUAAUGCAUACUUCAAAUAACAAAUUUCUUCGUCUGGUAACAGAAAUACCUUGCAAUAUCUCUAGUGCAUACUUCAAAUAACAAAUUUCUUCCUUAGUCAUGCAAGUAUCCACAAAGCACUUUCCUUGACGAUGAGCAACCUUACUAACAAUCCUACAAAUAUUGAUUAAAGGAGGAGAAACAAAUAGCAAAAACUUUUAGAUAUUGACAUAGGCAUAGCUUGCGAUGAUUACGAAAUGAGAUAAAAAUGGGAGUGGCCAACUAUUUGUUCUUACACUGAGCAGACCGCCUCAACACAUCAUCAAAGCUACCUUACACCAAGAUAACAUGGAGAUAAAUGUGAAUUGACAGAAACUGAAAUGUUCUGUGAGGAAUAGAAACAGCAGGCUGCUUAUGUAAGAAAAGACCGACAUGCCUAUUUAAAAAUAGACCAGAUAGUAGACAGAUCGUCCAUAUGCACUCACCAUGACAUGAGGAAUGCAGAAACGAUCUCGCAGACACUCCACAACACCAAAGGCCCAACAGGCACCACAAUGACUCUGCCAUUGUUAACCAAUACAUACUAACAUGAGCAUUCGAUUCAGCCGUUACGUAAAAAAGUAAAAAAAUAAUAAUAGUUACUGAACCUAGCAUUGUUAUGGUACCGAUUCAAACUAAACUAAGUACAAAUAAAGAUAACAAAUUUAUCGUAAGUAGAACGCACACGCCUGCUUGAACAACUCUAGCAACCUGUGAUAUGCCAAUCAGGAUACCUCACAAAAUAGCAAAGGGAGGGUCACAUAUCAACCUUUUUUUAAAGCUCAAAGUUGCAAAUGCAUAUGCACAGCACAUCACUUUUUGGUGACAAAUAUGACCAACGGCCAGUGGCCAUAAAUACCGAUCAAGAUCACAAUUCAUUCUACAGGUUACUUAAUUAUCUAUAAGCUUGCUGGUUAUUGAUACCUAUGAGCUUCACAUCAUCGUAAAAGUCUAAAAUAUCACAUCAUGUUUGGUUGAAACAAUAUGCUAAAAUAUGCAGUUUGCGAACCACAACUCUAACAUAUGGGGGAGAAGGUGGUAGCUCACCUGCAGCAAGGAGCUAGCAUCAGCAAAAGUAGGAGCUCAUCCUUUAGCGUACUAUGAACAUGUCGCAGCUGCCUUGCACCUUGAUGCACCGCCGCUGCGCAUGGAAGAUUAACAUCCCAUUGUUCUUGAGAAACUGUACAUAACAAACUACUUGAAUUAAUAUUUUGUAACUGAUCAGCAAGAAGUAGCAAUCAAGUUCUAAUAACGAAGAGCCGAGUCCAGGAUGUCUUACUCCUAUUUCAUACUAACUGUACCUAUUGAGAAAAGCAGAAAUGUGCAGCACACAGGAAGAGAGCAAAACGUGAUGAAAAAGGAAAAGAAGGUUAGAAGGCGAGCAAAGGAGCCGAUCCGAGAUAAGACCACCAGGA
rnacentral:lncRNA from 1 species